GGGGAUGACAGGCUUCGAUAGGGGGUUCUGUGUUUCCAAAUUGCAUAUCGGGUUGGCAAUGAACCUGUAAAACGUUGCUUCUCUAACUGGAAAAUCAGUUAAGUCUCCUUACGGAGCAUCUCUGGCAUUCGCGUAACAUACUUCGCGGCUAGUGCGCUUUCUCCUGACGUUCAAUACGGAGAGUAGCGUAUCAUAAACCUUUGAACUAGGAACUCGCGGCUUUCUCACGUGUGUUCCGAACCAACAGAAGAAUCGAGGAGUGAUCGCUUUUGUCCGCCUUUUAGGUCACCUCUCUAAACAACGCAAGGUAGACUAUAUAUGUAGACGUUUGCAAAUACACUCUUUACACGGCGGUUCGAGUCCGCCCAUCUCCACUG
rnacentral:tmRNA from 1 species